rnacentral:rRNA from 1 species
CCCUUAGAUGUCCUGGGCCGCACGCGCGCUACACUGAUGCAUUCAGCGAGUUUCACCUUGGCCGAGAGGCCUGGGCAAUCUUUUAAACCUGCAUCGUGAUAGGGAUAGAUUAUUGCAAUUAUUAAUCUUGAACGAGGAAUUCCUAGUAAACGCAAAUCAUCAAUUUGCAUUGAUUACGUCCCUGCCCUUUGUACACACCGCCCGUCGCACCUACCGAUUGAAUGGUCCGGUGAAGCCUCGGGAUUGUGGCCAGUUCACUUUAUUGGGAGUUGGCUGUGAGAACUUGUCUAAACCUUAUCAUUUAGAGGAAGGUGAAGUCGUAACA